ensembl:misc_RNA Metazoa_SRP Metazoan signal recognition particle RNA
GCUGGGUGUGGUGGUGCGUGCCUGUAGUCCCAGCUACUCGGGAGGCUGAGGCAGGGGAAUUGCUUGAACCUGGGAGGUGGAAGUUGCAGUGAGCUGAGAUUGAGCCACUGCACUCCAGCCUGGGUGACAGAGUGAGACUCUGUCUCAA